UGCCAGCAGCCGCGGUAAUACGGGAGGGGCAAGCGUUAUCCGAAAUGACUGGGCGUAAAGAGUCCGUAGACUGUACUGUAAGUUAUUUGUUAAAUCCUAAAGCCCAACUUUAGAACAGCAUUUAAUACUACUUUACUUGAGUUUUGUUCGGAAGAGUAGAAUUCCACGUUUAGGGAUAAUCCCCGUAGAUAUGUGGAGGAACACCAUUAGCGAAGGCGGCUCACUGGCUCGAUACUGACGCUGAGGUACGAAAGUGUGGGGAGCAAACAGGAUUAGAUA
rnacentral:rRNA from 1 species